rnacentral:rRNA from 1 species
GAGUUUGAUCAUGGCUCAGGACGAACGCUGGCGGUAUGCCUAACACAUGCAAGUCGAACGAGAUUAUUUUUUUGUUUACAAAGAAAUGAUUGCAGUGGCGGACGGGUGAGGAACACGUAAGAACUUACCUUUUGGCGGGGGAUAACAACGGGAAACUGUUGCUAAUACCCCAUAAUGCUGAGGAGCGAAAGGGAAACUGCCAAAAGAGAGGCUUGCGUCUGAUUAGCUAGUUGGCGGAGGUAAAUGCUCCCCAAGGCGACGAUCAGUAGCUGGUCUGAGAGGAUGAUCAGCCACACUGGGACUGAGACACAGCCCAGACUCCUACGGGAGGCAGCAGUGGGGAAUUUUCCACAAUGGGCGAAAGCCUGAUGGAGCAGUACCGCGUGAAGGAUGAAGGAUCGUGGUCCGUAAACUUCUUUUCUUAACGAAGAAAAUCUGACGGUAGUUAAGGAAUAAGCACCGGCUAACUCCGUGCCAGCCGCCGCGGUAAUC